rnacentral:rRNA from 1 species
GAUGAACGCUAGCUACAGGCUUAACACAUGCAAGUCGAGGGGUAACGAGAGGAAAGCUUGCUUUCCUUGUCGACGACCGGCGAACGGGUGAGUAACGCGUAUCCAACCUGCCCCCAACUAGGGAAUAACCUUGCGAAAGUAAGACUAAUACCCUAUAAUUUCCUCAGAUGUCAUCUGACGAGGAAUAAAGAUUUAUCGGUUGUGGAUGGGGAUGCGUCUGAUUAGCUUGUUGGCAGGGUAACGGCCCACCAAGGCAACGAUCAGUAGGGGUUCUGAGAGGAAGGUCCCCCACAUUGGAACUGGGACACGGUCCAAACUCCGAGGGGAGGCAGCAGUGAGGAAUAUUGGUCAAUGGGCGGAAGCCUGAACCAGCCAAGUAGCGUGCAGGAUGACGGCCCUAUGGGUUGUAAACUGCUUUUAUACAGGAAUAAAGUUAGCCACGUGUGGUUAUUUGUAGGUACUGUAUGAAUAAGGACCGGCUAAUUCCGUGCCAGCAGCCGCCGUAA